CGCUACACUGAAACAGAACAAGGAUUACAGUAUCUACCAAAAAAUACAAAAGCUUGUUUUGUUUAUAUUACACAAAGAACAUUUAGUAAAAAAAUAAAACAAAUAAGCUUAAGUUAAGAAAGCUCAUAGCUCAUACAGUAAGUACACUCGCAUACCCAACGAUUUCAACUUUGCCAUUUUUCGCUCCCGUCGUCUCGGCAGUUCAUAAAGUUGGGCAAAAUAUUAGGCUGAACGUUCUCACACUCUUUUUGUUUCUAAGAACUUUGUUUUGUAUCUUAAAUGAUGCUUUUUUGAGCUUAAAGUAUUUAAAGAUAAUUUAAAGACAAAUCGAGACAACUUACCUGAAAUCUUGCAACGAGAGACGAAAUUCUUGAAAAAAGCGCGAAAAAGUGAACGAUGAUUUAUGGGUAGACCAAGGCUUCCUCGGGCACAGGAUGCCCAACUGUGUGAUGACCGCUGUCUAGAUAAUCGCUGGCGCUUUGAUUUUUAACCAAAAUGGCGAACAAAAUGUCACAAGAAGAGAACCGAGAAGCAGCAAUGGCAGAAAACAAUUGAAAAUUCAAAACCAGACUUGGAAUGUACUCUGUCUGAUACAUCUCAGAUGUUUUCCUUCAAACUUAAACAUGAAUACUCAGCGACGGACGACGUGUUAUGUUUAAAAUAAGGUCGUGUUGUGCUAGAAAUGAGGUUCUAUGCUUUACUCUUAUAAGACUAUAAGAAUGUGUUAUUUUUGACAUAACUAGUUUAGAUAGAAUUGAGUUUUAUAGCAGUUUCAGAUCACACACGUCCUUCGCCAUUAAAAAUAUAUGGCACCAUUUGACUUUUGCUGUAGUGCGCUGUCAACCAAUAUGCUCUUGACCAAUCACAGCAAAGCAAGGCCUUUCUGAUGGUGGGGUGAGUUUGGCAAGUUCAAGUUUCAGCCUCGGCGCAUUUUCAACUCACUUAUGGUUCGAAAUGGCCAAAGCAUUUGCUUAGUCCUGUGUGUGAAUAUUUCUUUCACCACCAAAUACCAUUUUAUUUUUCAUUUUGAUCUACACAACUGCCUUCUACCAAAAAAACUGUGAAUGCUUGUAGUAGCUUUGAGUCAUUUUUAACAUAAAUUCAACAUAUGUUUUUUUAGUAAUAAUUCAUCACUGCAUUAAAGACCACCUGAUAUGGGUGUAAACUUC